AUACGGAGGGUGCAAGCGUUGUUCGGAAUUACUGGGCGUAAAGGGCGCGUAGGCGGUUUGAUAAGUCAGAUGUGAAAGCCCACGGCUUAACUGUGGAAGUGCAUUUGAAACUGUCAGACUUGAGUACCAGAGGGGAAAGUGUAAUUCCCGGUGUAGAGGUGAAAUUCGUAGAUAUCGGGAGGAAUACCGGUGGCGAAGGCGACUUUCUGGCUGGAUACUGACGCUGGGCGCGAAAGCGUGGGGAGC
rnacentral:rRNA from 1 species